GGACGCCGAAGGUGGGGCUAAUGACUGGGGUGAAGUCGUAACAAGGUAGCCGUACCGGAAGGUGCGGCUGGAUCACCUCCUAACAGGGAGACAACAAAAUGUAAAUAUUAAUUUUGUCACCUUAGGUCGAUCGGUAUCUCAGAUUCUUAUUCUUAAGAAUUUCAGUUUCUAAGUUUUUUCUAGGUCACACCCAUCACUUUUUCCUGGGCCAUUAGCUCAGGUGGUUAGAGCGCACCCCUGAUAAGGGUGAGGUCCCUGGUUCAAGUCCAGGAUGGCCCAUAUCUCUAUGUUGGGGGUAUAGCUCAGUUGGUAGAGCGCCUGCUUUGCAAGCAGGAUGUCAGCGGUUCGAGUCCGCUUACCUCCACUGAAUACCACCUCUUACAUAUAUUUAAAGAGGGAAAUAGUUUUGAGUCGUGUCCUAAUUUGCUCUGAGCGAAUCUAGCUUCCUAUUUUAUCAAAUAAAUAAGAUGCUGGACUCAUUGAAUUUUUUUCAUUGUUUUCAGAGAACCUUGACAACUGCAUAGAUUAUUUUUGAAGACAAUAAGCAUCUUUAAUGAUGCAGAUUUAUUAUUUGUGCGAAUGCAUUAAAUAACAAUUCUAUUAAGCUGAUGCUUCAAUUAUUGAAGUUAUUGGUCAAGCUACAAAGGGCUCACGGAGGAUA
rnacentral:misc_RNA from 1 species